GGCUCAGAUUGAACGCUGGCGGCAGGCCUAACACAUGCAAGUCGAAUGGUAACAGGAAACAGCUUGCUGUUUCGCUGACGAGUGGCGGACGGGUGAGUAAUGUCUGGGAAACUGCCUGAUGGAGGGGGAUAACUACUGGAAACGGUAGCUAAUACCGCAUAACGUCGCAAAGACCAAAGAGGGGGACCUUUCGGGCCUCUUGCCAUCAGAUGUGCCCAGAUGGGAUUAGCUAGUAGGUGGGGUAACGGCUCACCUAGGCGACGAUCCCUAGCUGGUCUGAGAGGAUGACCAGCCACACUGGAACUGAGACACGGUCCAGACUCCUACGGGAGGCAGCAGUGGGGAAUAUUGCACAAUGGGCGCAAGCCUGAUGCAGCCAUGCCGCGUGUAUGAAGAAGGCCUUCGGGUUGUAAAGUACUUUCAGCGGGGAGGAAGGGAGUAAAGUUAAUACCUUUGCUCAUUGACGUUACCCGCAGAAGAAGCACCGGCUAACUCCGUG
rnacentral:rRNA from 1 species